rnacentral:rRNA from 1 species
UGCCAGCCGCCGCGGUAAUACAGAGGCCCCAAGCAUUAUCCGGAUUCACUGGGCGUAAAGGGUGCGUAGGCGGUGUUAUAGUCGGGUGUCAAAUCCUGGGGCUCAACCUCAGAAUCGCAUUCGAAACGGAAACACUAGAAGAAGUCAGAGGUAAACAGAACUCUCGGUGUAGGGGUGAAAUCCGUUGAUAUCGAGGGGAAUACCAAAUGCGAAGGCAGUUUACUGGGACUUUCUUGACGCUGAGGCACGAAAGCGUGGGUAGCGAACGGGAUUAGAUA